CCUUUGCUUCCGGUCUCCGCUCCUUACUUCCGGACGGCCGCUCUUUCCUUUCUUCCGCUUCUCUAUGGUGUAUGCGCUUAGAUUGCCUGGCGGCCGGAAGUAGCUCGCAGUCCAGCCGGGGACCGGUCGGCGAAGCAGUGUGAACAACCAUGUCAUCAGAAUCCAGCAAAAAACGGAAGCCUAAAGUGAUCCGAAGUGAUGGAGCUCCAGCUGAAGGAAAGCGGAAUCGAUCUGACACAGAGCAGGAAGGUAAAUACUAUAGCGAGGAGGCUGAGGUGGACCUGCGGGACCCUGGCAGAGACUAUGAGCUGUAUAAGUACACGUGCCAGGAGCUACAGAGGCUGAUGGCUGAGAUCCAGGAUCUGAAGAGCCGGGGCGGCAAGGAUAUGGCAAUUGAAAUUGAAGAACGAAGGAUCCAAAGCUGUGUACAUUUCAUGACUCUAAAGAAGCUUAACCGAUUAGCCCACAUAAGGUUGAAGAAAGGAAGGGAUCAGACCCAUGAGGCUAAGCAGAAAGUAGACGCCUAUCACCUGCAACUACAGAACCUGCUGUAUGAGGUGAUGCACCUACAGAAGGAGAUCACUAAAUGUCUGGAAUUUAAGUCAAAGCAUGAAGAAAUAGAUCUGGUUAGUUUAGAGGAAUUUUAUAAGGAGGCUCCACCAGACAUCAGCAAAGCUGAAGUCACCAUGGGAGACCCUCAUCAGCAGACCUUAGCACGACUGGACUGGGAAUUGGAGCAACGGAAAAGGCUGGCGGAGAAGUACCGAGAGUGCCUGUCCAACAAGGAGAAAAUCCUUAAGGAGAUUGAGGUGAAGAAGGAAUACCUGAGCAGCCUCCAGCCUCGCCUCAACAGCAUCAUGCAGGCUUCCCUUCCGGUGCAGGAGUACUUGUUCAUGCCAUUUGACCAGGCUCACAAGCAAUACGAGACAGCUAGGCACCUGCCGCCUCCCCUCUACGUGCUCUUUGUCCAGGCUACUGCAUAUGGGCAGGCCUGUGCUCAUAUGAAAUCCUCCUCCCAGCCCCCUAGACAGGAUAAGACAUUGUCUGUGGCUAUCGAAGGCAGUGUGGACGAAGCCAAGGCUCUAUUCAAGCCUCCUGAGGACUCCCAAGAUGACGAGAGUGACUCGGAUGCUGAGGAGGAGCAGACCACGAAACGGCGGCGACCCACACUGGGGGUUCAAUUGGAUGACAAGCGCAAGGAAAUGCUAAAGAGACACCCACUGUCCGUCCUACUUGACCUCAAGUGCAAAGAUGACAGCGUGCUUCACCUGACUUUCUACUACCUCAUGAACCUCAACAUCAUGACAGUGAAAGCCAAAGUAACAACUGCCACAGAGCUGAUCACCCCCAUCAGUGCAGGGGACUUGCUAUCUCCUGACUCUGUCCUGAGCUGUUUGUAUCCUGGAGAUCAUGGAAAGAAAACUCCGAAUCCAGCCAAUCAGUAUCAGUUUGAUAAAGUUGGCAUCCUGACUUUGAGAGACUAUGUACUUGAUUUGGGUCACCCCUAUUUGUGGGUACAGAAGCUGGGUGGCCUCCACUUCCCCAAAGAGCAGCCCCAGCACACAGUGAUCGCUGACCACUCACUGAGUGCCAGCCACAUGGAAACCACGAUGAAACUGCUGAAGACCAGGGUACAGUCCCGUUUGGCCCUCCACAAACAGUUUGCAUCCCUGGAACAUGGCAUUGUGCCAGUUACCAGCGAUUGCCAGUAUCUCUUCCCUGCCAAGGUUGUGUCUCGCCUGGUGAAGUGGGUGACAAUUGCUCAUGAGGAUUACAUGGAUCUGCAUUUUACCAAAGACAUUGUAGAGGCAGGACUGGCUGGGGACACCAAUCUCUACUAUAUGGCGCUUGUUGAAAGGGGCACAGCCAAACUCCAGGCUGCUGUGGUGUUGAACCCUGGCUACUCUUCCAUCCCACCCAUUUUCCAGCUCUGUCUGAACUGGAAAGGGGAGAAAACCAACAGCAAUGAUGACAACAUCCGGGCCAUGGAGAGCGAGGUCAAUGUGUGCUACAAGGAGCUGUGCGGUCCCCGGCCCAGCCACCAGCUCUUAACCAACCAACUGCAGCGGCUGUGCGUGCUAUUGGAUGUCUACCUGGAGACAGAGAGUCACGAUGACAGUGUGGAGGGGCCCAAGGAAUUUCCUCAGGAGAAGAUGUGUUUGCGGCUUUUCAGGGGUCCAAGCAGGAUGAAGCCAUUUAAAUAUAACCAUCCUCAAGGAUUCUUCAGCCAUCGCUGACCUGCUACUCUGCCUGUUGCUGCCCAGAGUAUUAGGCCUCUGCUUUCUGCUUUGGCCACAUGUGGCUCUUGAUAGUUUCUGGAGAUACAAGGUCUCAGCUGUUAGGUGGAGAAGCCAAAGUCAGAGCCAACGAGCACAAGCUCCUGUUCCUCCUGCUCCAGCUCUUCACUACUACUUUCAUUAUCCAUGAUGACUGGAUUCUCUCUGAUGGGUACUUUAAAUAUUUGACAGUGCAGGGGCUGGGAUUAUGGCUCAGUGGUAGAGCACUCGCCUAGACAGCCGGGACCUGGGUUCAAUCCUCAGCACCACAUAAAAAUAAAGGCAUUGUGUUGUGUCCAUCUACACCUAAAAAAUAAAUAAUGAAAAAAAAAUAAAUAUUUGACAGUGCAGUAUAAAUAGAAGACAAAUACAUCAUACAACAUAAUUCUAAAUCUUGCAAGAUUUCCUGAAGUCAGUGAGAGUGAUGUUAGAGAAUCAUGUGCAGAGUUGCUGGCCAGUGAGACAAUGGCAAAAUGAGUCCAGAUGACAUUUGUGGAGAAUCUUCUUGUAAAUAACAUGAUAAAUGUCCCCCUAGAUAAUGAUUUGAUUCUUGGGAUUAGGAGAAGUCCUCGGAAAAUGUUUCUAAGCUUACCUCCUUCGUGAUCCUCCAUCAGAAGACAAAGUGAAGGAUGACACAGAGUAUUCUUGGAGAGUUUUGUCAGAAAAAUUAUAUCUGCCCUCCACCCACCCCCAAAAAAAAUCAAUACAGGAAAGGCCUAUUAGGGCCCUUUGUUUUAUAUAUGGAAACUGGAGCCCAGCCAGAGAGGAAAACAGUACCUUAAGUAGCCACCAAAUGACCACCACUACCUGAGCCUCUCCUUCACCUUGGCCUGUCAUAAUUCCUUUGAGUACCCAACACAGGUGCUUUCCUGCCCAAAGGCCCUCAAACUGCACCUGCAUCACCUAUCCUGGGAAAUGAACCGAAGUGCACAUUCCAAGCUCCACUCCCACUAUUCUGACUCAGUUGACCUGAGAUGGGCCAAGGAAGGAUAUUUUUAACAAGCUCCCCAGGUGCAGUGUGCCCUAGUCUUUUUUUGGAAGGCGCUGUACUUUCCUCCCUUAUUUUUCCCUUAUUCAAUUCUCUGAGCAGCUCCCCUCUUCUGUCUUUUGCACCUGGUCUCCUGUCUUAGGAGCUCAGUGAUAGGCCUCUCCCUCAGAAAAUCUUAAUCCUGGGAUGCUCAGUGAUCAGUUUAGCAGGCAGGAGAAACAGUCAAUAAAUCCACUUUUACCGAAUGUGUUUAUAAUGGAGACCAAAGUUUGUUUAUUGUUGUAAAAGGAAUUUUUUUUUGAAUGUUUUAGUUAUAGAUGGACACAAUACCUUUAUUUUUAUGUAGUGCUGAGGAUCAAAUCCAGUGUCCCACACGUGUGAGGCGAGCAUCCUAUCACUGAGCUACAGCCCCAGCCCCGAAAGGAGAAGGUUUUACUGGGAAUAUCCCAA